AUGGCUCAGAACGAACGCUGGUGGCGUGUCUUAUACAUGCAAGUCGAGCGAGGCAGCAAUGCCGAGCGGCGAACGGGUGAGUAACGCGUAAGCAAUCUGCCCCAUAUCAGGAAAUACCCGUGCCAACGCGCGGUUAAUGUCCAGGAGAGUGGCCUUCUGCAUGGAAGGUUGACUAGAGAUUUAUCGGUAUGGGAUGAGCUUGCGUCCGAUUAGCUAGUUGGCGGGGCAACGGCCCACCAAGGCGACGAUCGGUAGCCGGCCUGAGAGGGUGAUCGGCCACAUUGGGACUGAGAUACGGCCCAGACUCCUACGGGAGGCAGCAGUAGGGAAUAUUGCACAAUGGGGGAAACCCUGAUGCAGCAACGCCACGUGUGGGAAGAAGCAUUUCGGUGUGUAAACCACUGUCAUGAGGGAAUAAGGCCCUUAUCCGUAAGGGAUUGAAUGUACCUUGAGAGGAAGCACCGGCAAACUUCGUGCCAGCAGCGGC
rnacentral:rRNA from 1 species